CUGAUCCAGCCAUGCCGCGUGAGUGAAGAAGGCCUUCGGGUUGUAAAGCUCUUUCAGCCGGGAAGAAAUCACAUGGGUUAAUACCCUGUGUGGAUGACGGUACCGGAAUAAGAAGCACCGGCUAACUACGUGCCAGCAGCCGCGGUAAUACGUAGGGUGCGAGCGUUAAUCGGAAUUACUGGGCGUAAAGCGUGCGCAGGCGGUUUGUUAAGAUAGGCGUGAAAUCCCCGGGCUCAACCUGGGAACUGCGUUUAUGACUGGCAGGCUAGAGUAUGGCAGAGGGGGGUGGAAUUCCACGUGUAGCAGUGAAAUGCGUAGAGAUGUGGAGGAACACCGAUGGCGAAGGCAGCCCCCUGGGCCAAUACUGACGCUCAUGCACGAAAGCGUGGGUAGCAAACAGGAUUAGAUACCCUGGUAGUCCACGCCCUAAACGAUGUCAACUAGGUGUUGGGUGGGUAAAACCAUUUAGUACCGGAGCUAACGCGUGAAGUUGACCGCCUGGGGAGUACGGCCGCAAGGUUAAAACUCAAAGGAAUUGACGGGGACCCGCACAAGCGGUGGAUGAUGUGGAUUAAUUCGAUGCAACGCGAAAAACUUACUACCUUGACAUGUCAGAAGCUCUUAAGAUUGAGUGUGCCGAAAGGGAAUGGAAAAGGGUGCUGGUGUGUCAGUCGGUGGAA
rnacentral:rRNA from 1 species